rnacentral:lncRNA from 1 species
AUGAUUGUUCUAUGUGGUGUUUUUCAGUUUACGUGUUGUGUGUGCGUGAUUAGGGUGUAUUGUGAAGAAGACUGUUAAGAAAGAAGACAUGUUUAUGUAUUUUUGUGUGUGUGUGAUUAGGGUGUUUUUCAGUUUAUGUGUUGUUGUGUGUGAUUACUGAUUAGGUGUAUUGUGAAGAAGAUUGUUAAGAAAGAAGACAUGUUUAUGUAUUUUUGUGUGUGUGUGUGAUCAAGUAGGGUUUAGUUUGUAGAGAAAAUAAGAUAGAAAAGAUGUUUUUUUUUUUUUUUUUUUUUAAUUUAUUUAUUUACGCUUAAGGUAUAGUAGAGGUGGGCAUACUGCCAAUGGAGCUCUGUUGGUGUCUCUUUGUAAAACUCUCUUGAUGAUUUUACCAGCUAUCAGUGUUCACUUGUUACACACACGAAGAAACAGUGUAAUGAUUCAUUUCAAAAAGAAGAUAUCAUCAUAAAAAGCAAGCAAGCACAUUUACUUCUACUGUACCAGCAUUUGAUGAUGCAUGUAACAAGAAGAAAAAAAGGACAAGGAGGUAGGGCAAGAGAUAAUUGAGAAACUUAAUGUACAGCCAAUAUGCACUUAUGAUCUCUAUGAAAAACAUGCUUUUAGAUUGUACCUUCUGUCAUACUCAUUAUUGCUCCCAGAGGGAGGUGAGUUCUUCUGUGCAUGAUGCAUGUUAUGGGGUAAAAGAAAUUCUUCCAAAAUGGCCUUCUGUAUCUUUGUUUUUUCGUUAAGGGAAAGUUUUAUUAUU